AGCCUUUUGUAUUUGAGCUGACAUUCUGUCAGUAACCAGUUCAUCAGAGCUGAUACAGCUCCCCAAAUAAGUAAAGUG
rnacentral:pre_miRNA from 1 species